AUUCUGGAGAUUCGGAAUAACACACAGGCACUUAUAAUACAAGAUGUUCUAUCUUUACAGACAUCAGCGAUAAAGGGGUGCAGGAUCCAGAAAAGAGAAGCCAGUAGUGAACACUGACCGUGGACAACAGAUGAAACAGACAGACGAACUAUCGCAAGAAGGUGUGGAUACAACAGUACAUUGAGAGCCGAGAAGGAAGGACUGUGCUGGAGUACUAAUUCUGAACAUGGCACUAGGUCUUUCAUGAACCCAAGGAGCUGAUAUAUUUCCAGAAACCCACCCCAUGGUACAUGCUCAGAUGGGAAGGGCUUGAACCACCCAACUAGAAGCAGAACACAGACAGAUGUUUUCCUCAGGAUGUUGCUAAGAAGAAUGGAGAUAGUAAGUCUAAAUCAGGAUCUGGCAACGGACAUUCGUGCUCAUCUCCUGCGGUAAUCGGAGCAUAGGGAAGGAUUCUCGUAUGGGGGGGAUCUUCUCAGUACGAAUAUCCCGAUUGACCAGACUUAGAGUCCAUCCCGCCAGCCGGGGAGAGGAUACCCUUCCCUCAUUAAUUCUUCCAGAGAUGACAUAUUUUACUGGAGUAUGGCAUGUCCUCACCACAAUGAGAGCUGUGCCACUUAAAUAUUCCCAAUGUGUUAGGGACCAUACCAGGGCGAAUACCUCACGUUCGCAAGCUGAAAACCUCGCCUCCACCUCACUGAGAGUUUUGGAACCAUAGGCCAUCGGUCUCACCUGGCCAAUUUGUUUUUGCAGCAAAACAGCUCCAGUGCUUGCUGGAGUAGUUGCCAGGUGCCAGUAAAAUGGCAGGCCUUGUUUAGGAGAGGCUCGCGCUGGUGCAGCCGCUAGAGCCUUUCUAAGAUCAUUAAAAAGGCACCUUUCACAAUUGGCAAGUCAAAUCCUAGUGAGGAAAAGACAAAGAAGCGUAAACUCUGGCAAGUC